rnacentral:ncRNA from 1 species
UAUCUGAUUGAUUCUGUCAGCGCUAUAUGCUUACGUAAAAGACUAAGCCAUGCAUGUACUGUUCAACUAACGGUGAAACUGCGAACGGCGUCAUUAGAGCAGAUAUCAUUUAUUCGGUAAUAUUUUUGGAUAACUGCGGUAAUUCUGGAGCUAAUACAUGCAUCAAUGCCCCAACUUCGGAAGGGGUGCAAUUAUUAGAACAGACCAAUCGUCCUUGGACGUAGUUUGUUGACUCUGAAUAACGCAGCAUAUCGGCGGCUAGUCCGCUGAUAAUCCGAGAAAGUGUCUGCCCUAUCAACCUGAUGGUAGUCUAUUAGU